CAGAUGUGAAAAAAGGGCUGAAGGCCAACUCUCACUCAUCGAUGUUUUUUGAGGCCAACACGCACAAACCACAAUCAUGUAAUCGUUUAACUUUCGACAAAAACGUAGCCGUUGCGCUUGAUGUCAAUGUUAUUAUUACGCGCUUUAUUGCAGUCGUGAAUGCGAAUUUUGGCAGUAGAUUGUUUGGAGUAUUUAAUCGAUGUUUUUACCAAGUUAAAUUUCCAACUAGUUGGGGAUGCUGUUUAGUAUGUUUUGUCGUGUUGACAUUUGCAGACGGCGCAACAGAAAUACACAACAAACAAUCACCGUCUUUUGUUGUGCGUUUGUCAACAGUUAGUACAGCCAUUAGUUGAAAAGUUCUCAAGAUAAGAUUAUAGCGAAUUGCAAUGUUGAGAUGGCAAGAGUUUGGUCAAGCGUGGUGGGCUGAAGCCAGAAAGAAAGUGAAGAAUGCAGCCGUCUUUUUGGAUCCGUUGGCGUGUGAAUGUCUUCACUGGAAUGGAGGUGCACCAUCUCUUCUGGAAGCUGGAGCAAGCUGCAUUAAAGAACUUUCAACUUUCGAAGUUGUACCUAAAAAUAUCAAGAAAGGUGUCUUUAUUUCCAGCACAGCCUGGCAUGGAACAAACUACAAUAUAUUAGAAAGCCUCAUUAAGAAGAGCAAUUUGGAAUAUUGUGUCAUCAUAACUUCAGCCCAUGUGUCUGUACAUCAUCUUCUUCUGUGGGGUUCGAGGGAGAGCAAUGACUCGGAAGUAUUGCAAAAGAUUGAAGGCGAUGUUUUAGGGUGGAUGGGGAACAUGAAUUAUACUGUGGAAGUUUUCAGUUAUCCUUUAAGCACCCUUCAUCCAACCAGAGAUACAGUUUUAAUACCCUCUGCAAAGUUAGCAAGGCCUCUUCUCACAAGUGAUUUAGGAUACCUAAAUGAACAGCUCAUUCUAUUUAGCAAGCAGGCGGAUGCACAAACAGUGCGAUCGAUAAACGAUCUCAGUAAUGCAAAUUUGCCAUUAGAAUCGCAAGUACAAGUGCGUCAGCUAGUUCACAACCUUAAUCAACUGAUACAGCACAUCAACGGAAAAGAUGAAAUUUUCACAGUGGGCCCAUUCAGUAGAAUAAUCGGUACUGAACUUGAAGCUUUAAAUGCUGCCAAAACUCGAAGAAAAACGGCGACAAAUAAAGUGUCCGUCAUCUUGGUUGACCGGCUCCUUGAUUUGGCAUCCGCGACCAAGUUCUCUAGUGACAAUUUGUACGACCGAUUCAUCCAUACUCUUGACCGGCUUCACGAAUACUCUAGUGAUGUAGCUAUUAACAUGAGUGGAAAACCGCAAGGAGAUUUGACGACGGCACCUGGCUGUCUAGCACCUCAAACAGAUUGGAAUGACGGAUGGGACAUGAUGGAUCAUUUGUUUCACGAAAAUUCCCAACAGGCUACAGAAUGGUUUACGGAUGUUCUGAAAGACAGCUUAGAAGAUUCAAACGAUCUUAAAAAUCUGGGCGAUGUCAUUCAUCAAUGCAGCAAGGAUUGGGAUUUUAUUGAAAAGUUUACUCAUUUGUAUCAGGUUGGAUACGGACUAUCUCAGAUUCAGAGUAAUGAUAAAGCAAAACGAAUGGACGAUUUAGAGGGAAUUCGGAAAAGUCUGGUUGAAUGCUUAGAUGACGAAUCUCCGUCUCCUCUCAUACAGGUCUUGCAGCUGUUGAAGACGAGGAAAGAUAUGAAUUUAUCUUUGGAUGAUAUCUUGGUUCUGUUGGUCCACUUGUACUCUCUAGCAGGUGACAGACGAAAAGAUGUAUUGCCCGCUGAGUUGGAGGAACGCUUUAAGAGUCUCGUGGCAGAAAUUAUCGUCAAUGAUAUUCUCUCUGAUGAGCUUCAAGAUUUUGUGGGCGUUCCUGUCGAUGAAAUUAGAGCGCAUCGUGCCGCCCAAAGGAUAAUCGAACAACUUCAUUGCAUUAGCGAAUUUCGUAGUCACAUGAAGAGAUACAGAACUUUGUUUCAACGGCGCAGCUCAGCUAUGCCUCUAGAGUGCAUCAGUUUCUUUCAGCAACUGGUUGAAGAUAUUUUCGAUCCUUUAUUGGGCGACAAAAAUCCAGACUUGGAACACAAAUCAGGAAGCUUGAAAGAUUUCAUUAAAACGGGAUUUAGUUUAUUCGUCAACGUGCGUAAGCCUAAACCAGUGGACAAUCCCACCAUCAUCUUGUACGUGUGUGGUGGCAUACGUCCCGACGAAGUGAAGCUCAUUCGUGAUUUGUUUCGUCAAAAAUCAACGACUCACAAAGUUUUGAUAGCGUCAAGUCACUUCCUAUCUGCUUACGAUUCAUUGCAAUACGUUUUCAAGAAAAAUCUUUCAUCGUGAUCGUGGUGAUUUGGAAAUAGCCACGUUCAUUCCGGUUUUUCGGAGUGAUUCUUGCCCCCUUUUUUUACCGCUCCUACCGUAUUCUAUGGCAUUUUGUAUGCUGCUGUUAAUAAAUGGUGAAUAAGAAGUGCUCAAUGCCCUGUAGUGUUCAAAUCCGGAAAUAGAAUGAAAAAAGGAAAAGAUUAUCUACUGAAGUAGGUUAUAAACGGGAGUCUCUUUCAACCUAAAUUGUAAGUGUCACAAGCCAAAAGUAGAAAGGGAAAUAAAAGCGCAAAAACUUUGAAUUUACAUAA
rnacentral:misc_RNA from 1 species